GACGAACGCUGGCGGCGUGCCUAAUACAUGCAAGUCGAGCGCAGGAAACUGACGGAACUCUUCGGAGGGAAGGCAGCGGAAUGAGCGGCGGACGGGUGAGUAACACGUAAGGAACCUGCCUCAAGGAUUGGGAUAACUCCGGGAAAUCGGAGCUAAUACCGGAUAGUUCAACGGACCGCAUGGUCCGCUGAUGAAAGGCGCUUCGGCGUCACCUUGAGAUGGCCUUGCGGUGCAUUAGCUAGUUGGUGGGGUAACGGCCCACCAAGGCGACGAUGCAUAGCCGACCUGAGAGGGUGAUCGGCCACACUGGGACUGAGACACGGCCCAGACUCCUACGGGAGGCAGCAGUAGGGAAUCUUCCACAAUGGACGAAAGUCUGAUGGAGCAACGCCGCGUGAGUGAUGAAGGUUUUCGGAUCGUAAAACUCUGUUGUAAGGGAAGAACACGUACGAGAGGAAAUGCUCGUACCUUGACGGUACCUUACGAGAAAGCCACGGCUAACUACGUGCCAGCCGCCGCUAUAA
rnacentral:rRNA from 1 species